rnacentral:rRNA from 1 species
CCUACGGGUGGCAGCAGUGAGGAAUAUUGGUCAAUGGGCGAGAGCCUGAACCAGCCAAGUCGCGUGAGGGAGUACUGCCCUAUGGGUUGUAAACCUCUUUUGUCGGGGAGCAAAAGCCGGACGUGUCCGGCUGUGAGAGUACCCGAAGAAAAAGCAUCGGCUAACUCCGUGCCAGCAACCGCGGUAAUACGGAGGAUGCGAGCGUUAUCCGGAUUUAUUGGGUUUAAAGGGUGCGCAGGCGGAUUUUUAAGUAAGCGGUAAAAUCGUGGGGCUCAACCCCAUCCAGCCGUUGAAACUGGGGAUCUAGAGUGUGCGAGAGGUAUGCGGAAUGCGUGGUGUAGCGGUGAAAUGCAUAGAUAUCACGCAGAACCCCGAUUGCGAAGGCAGCAUACCGGUGCACAACUGACGCUCAGGCACGAAAGCGUGGGUAUCGAACAGGAUUAGAUACCCCAGUAGUC